UACGAAGGGGGCUAGCGUUGCUCGGAAUCACUGGGCGUAAAGCGCACGUAGGCGGAUGUGCCAGUCAGGGGUGAAAUCCCGGAGCUCAACUCCGGAACUGCCUCUGAUACAGCACGUCUUGAGUUCGAGAGAGGUGGGUGGAAUUCCUAGUGUAGAGGUGAAAUGCGCAGAUAUCGGGAAGAACACCCGUGGCGAAGGCGGUUCUCUGGGACGGUACUGGACGCUGAGACGCGAAAGCGUGGGGAGCGAAACAGG
rnacentral:rRNA from 1 species